rnacentral:lncRNA from 1 species
GAAAUAAUACAGAUCACAUUUUUUUCACACUUUUACAGUGUUCAUUUCAUCAGCUGUUGUACAAUAUGAUACAAAACACAGGGGGAAAAAAAGAUUUUUGACUGCACUGGGCCUUUAAAGUAGCUAGCUACAGUAAGAGAGACAACUGCACAUCACAGUCAUAAAUUUGGCAGUACGUCUGUAACGAUCGUCUGACAGAGGGGACCAAGAUGCAGCGUGUUUCACAGAGUAAAUAAAAUGUGGAACUACACACACGCUGCACCUUGGUCCUCUCCUUUUGACAGCCGUGACAGUCUUUUC